CAUACAAGGCAUACGGCUCAGUAACGCGUAGUCAACCUAACCUAUGGACGGGAAUAACCUCGGGAAACUGAGAAUAAUGCCCGAUAGAACAUUAUGCCUGGAAUGGUUUAUGUUCCAAAUGAUUUAUCGCCGUAGGAUGGGACUGCGGCCUAUCAGUUUGUUGGUGAGGUAAUGGCCCACCAAGACUAUUACAGGUACGGGCUCUGAGAGGAGUAGCCCGGAGAUGGGUACUGAGACACGGACCCAGGCCCUAUGGGGCGCAGCAGGCGAGAAAACUUUGCAAUGUGCGAAAGCACGACAAGGUUAAUCCGAGUGGUUUCUGCUAAAGAAACCUUUUGUCAGUCCUAGAAACACUGAUGAAUAAGGGGUGGGCAAGUUCUGGUGUCAGCCGCCGCGGUAAAACCAGCACCUCAAGUGGUCAGGAUGAUUAUUGGGCCUAAAGCAUCCGUAGCCGGCUCUGUAAGUUUUCGGUUAAAUCUGUACGCUCAACGUACAGGCUGCCGGGAAUACUGCAGAGCUAGGGAGUGGGAGAGGUAGACGGUACUCGGUAGGAAGGGGUAAAAUCCUUUGAUCUAUUGAUGACCACCUGUGGCGAAGGCGGUCUACCAGAACACGUCCGACGGUGAGGGAUGAAAGCUGGGGGAGCAAACCGGAUUAGAUACCCGGGUAGUCCCAGCUGUAAACUAUGCAAACUCAGUGAUGCAUUGGCUUGUGGCCAAUGCAGUGCUGCAGGGAAGCCGUUAAGUUUGCCGCCUGGGAAGUACGUACGCAAGUAUGAAACUUAAAGGAAUUGGCGGGGGAGCACCACAAGGGGGUGAAGCCUGCGGGUUCAAUUGGAGUCAACGCCCGGG
rnacentral:rRNA from 1 species